GGAAGGGUGCAGGAGUGGUUGAACUGGCACGCCUGGAACGCGUGUAACGGAGCAAUCUGUUCGAGGGUUCGAAUCCCUCUCCUUCCGCCA
rnacentral:tRNA from 8 species